CAACCUCCCCUGUGUUAAAAAAACUUCAACAAUAGGAUGAAGGUGAAUAGGGUACAUAGGGAUAACAGGUCCACUAUCUGAGACAAAUCAAGUUACUUAUUCAUAGUCACAGACUGUUUCACCUAAUGCUAAAACAGUGUGACCCAGUCUGAAGUGGAGGGUAGACAGAACUCACUCCUUUGUUUCUUGGCCAGAAAUUCUAUUUCAGUUGUAAAGAUAUUUCUUCAGUUUAUUGAAAUGGAAAUAUUGAACUUCUUCUGCUCUUCAGUAAAUUGUAGCAAUUAUGUUGAACACAGGAUUUCGAUCUGUAGUGUAACUAGAGUGAUAGGAACACUAUGCCUCAUGAGCCAUAAUGACUGCAUUCCAAAUGGAGACUGUGUACUGUAUACUGCCUGACAAAUAGAGUCCAAAGUAAAGAUCCAAUAUGGGAAAACACUGAGGCUGAAUACGGUGCUGUGAAGAGUGGAUGAGGCCGAAGUGAAGGGUGGAUGAGGCAGAAGUGAAGAGUGGAUACACCGAGGUGAAGGGUGGAUGAGGCUGAAGUGAAGGGUGGAUACACUGAGGUGAAGAGUGGAUGAGGCCGAAGUGAAGGGUGGGUACACAGAGGUGAAGGGUGGAUGAGGCUGAAGUGAAGGGUGGAUACACCAAGGUGAAGGGUGGAUGAGGCCGAAGUGAAGGGUGGGUACACUGAGGUGAAGGGUGGAUGAGGCCGAAGUGAAGGGUGGAUACACCAAGGUGAAGGGUGGAUACACCGAGGUGAAGGGUGGAUACACCGAGGUGAAGGGUGGAUGAGGCCGAAGUGAAGGGUGGAUACACCAAGGUGAAGGGUGGAUGAGGCCGAAGUGAAGGGUGGAUACACCAAGGUGAAGAGUGGAUGAGGCCGAAGUGAAGGGUGGAUACACCGAGGUGAACUGACCAACAAAUUGCCCAAAUUGAACCAGGCUCCUGAGACCCAAAUCUCAUUUGACCAACUGAAAAACACUUAAAAAAAUGCAGAAUGUAAACGAAACCCAACGAUGCCGGAGCGGAAGCUACUCCGGUUAGGGCAUAGGACUGUGUGGUGGAGCAGUGUGCCCUCUAAAGCUUCACACUUGUCACACAUGGAACUAGAUCCUCAUUAAUUUGACCUUUAAGCCCAACUGGGCCUUGAUGCAGUUUCUGGUGAAUGUUCUUUGUUGCUGAUGACAGUCAUGCUUAUAAGCCAUUCCCUUCCUAAUCCAUGAACACUUAAUGUUGUGUCCAGACUUUCCCUUGUCCCUGGUGGGGGUGAGGGUGGGGGACAAACCGGACAUUUAAAUGACUUGGUCCCUCGUCAUAGUGAAACUCCUUUCCCUGGAACCUGGAUUGGAACAAUGACCAAUAUGGUCCACAUUAUCGCAGGGUGACACAGGGGUCACUUUUUGCUGCUGGAGCGCAGGGCCUGAAAUAGUUUGUGCCUCUGAAGCGGACGCUAGAUGUAGCAGGAUCUGUUCUUGUUGUGAUUACCUGGCUCCAGAGCAAGGCCGGCCAUUCUCCCUGGACUUCUGGAAAUGACCUCUGCCAAGGGGCUGUGAUUAGCACAACCUCGGCCCACUCCGGCCCAUUCCUGGGUCAACACCCAGGGCCAUAAGAGGAAUUCCACAAUCAUUAGCCAGACAG
ensembl:lncRNA